rnacentral:rRNA from 1 species
AUUGAACGCUGGCGGCAUGCCUUACACAUGCAAGUCGAACGGCAGCACGGGAGCAAUCCUGGUGGCGAGUGGCGAACGGGUGAGUAAUAUAUCGGAACGUGCCCAGUAGUGGGGGAUAACUGCUCGAAAGAGCAGCUAAUACCGCAUACGACCUGAGGGUGAAAGGGGGGGAUCGCAAGACCUCUCGCUCUUGGAGCGGCCGAUAUCAGAUUAGCUAGUUGGUGGGGUAAAGGCCUAUCAAGGCAACGAUCUGUAGUUGGUCUGAGAGGACGACCAGCCACACUGGGACUGAGACACGGCCCAGACUCCUACGGGAGGCAGCAGUGGGGAAAUUUGGACAAUGGGCGCAAGCCUGAUCCAGCAAUGCCGCGUGCAGGAAGAAGGCCUUCGGGUUGUAAACUGCUUUUGUCAGGGAAGAAAUCCUCUAGGUUAAUACCCUUGGGGGGAUGACGGUACCUGAAGAAUAAGCACCGGCUAACUACGUGCCAGCCGCCGCCGUAAAAC